GCAAAACUGCAGUCUCGUGAAAUGAAAGCCGGGCGUAAGUUUCCAUAGGGAGGUAACUGGGUGAUUUUUUUUUUUUAAUUGAUGUUCCUGACAAUUCCUUGGUAAGGUGAUGGGCACACCCCAAAACGACAAGGUUUUAAGCACUCACAUGCCGUGGUGGUGUGCAGUUACCUCGCCCAGAGCAGAUGUGCAGGUUUUGCUAAAUAACAGUGAACAUCAGUCCCUGUCCCCGCUUCAGUCUCUAGUAUUAACACAAAAGAUGCUGCUACAGUGAUGCCCAAAGUACGUCCUCCAGGUGACAGGAAACCUCUGCCCGUGCAAGGAUGGGCUCUGGAGAGGAGUCGGGACCAUCCUCUCCACUCCAGGAACUCACACAGCUUUCCGGACGCGAGUGUAUUGCACUUCAGGGAUUGGGAGAGGUUCGUUUCCAGGCUGUUCCCAGCCACGUUCCUUCCUUUGAGUGGAUUUAGUGCAUUUCCUUCUCUCUCGCCCCUUUUAACAGCCAUUUUAGGGAUGAGCAUGGUAGCAGGGCAGAGAGCCUCCCACCCAGCUGCCCCCAGUGCAGAGCACCCUGCCUUGGGCAGCAGAAACCGAUUCCUCCUCCCCAAAAACCUGAAUACAGACUGGGUGCAAGGAAGAGGCACCCCGUGGCAGUUGUGCAUCACACCCUCCCCGCUCCCACAGGUGGGGAGUCUUAAAUCCUCAAAUGGAAAAAAAAAAAAGUCAUGGGGGGGGGGUCCUCUCCCCUUCCAGUGCUGUCUCAAACCAAAUGUGAAUGUUGCCUUCGUUAUCUGGAGUGAUUAAUAAAUCAGGCAUUGCGGUUUCUCUGUUUCGAGACCCUUCCGUGGCCCCUGGCUCUGUAGCAUUCCCCUUCCUUCCUUCACACCGGGUUAAGCUCACCCUCAAGGAAGCCCCCAGCCCCAAAUGUGACUUCCAGAGCUCUCUGUGCCUGUGUGUCUGCCCCGUCUCUCCUGCUCCAGGGCUGGGGGAGGCACCAGCCCCAAGUUCCUGCGGGUCCGUCUCUGCGAAGGGUGGCUGGAAAGGUGCAAUAUUCUGCUGCAGGGUCUCCCCGCAGGGAAUCAGAGCAAGUUGUGUCAGACCCCAUUGGCUCUGUGUGUGUCUCUCCUCCCCUCUCCUUCAGCUUCACGAAGCAGCCCUAAUUUUUGCUGUCCUGCAGCUCCUUCUUCCCUGGAGCCACCCGUGAGGAUGAAGUCCCCACAAGGGGGCAUAGAAAUUGCACCAGUGUCCAAGUUGUGCACCCAGUGAGGAGGAAACAGGAGCCCCCAAAGCCUUACUCUCGCGUUUAGCUUGUUCUUAACUUUUUUUGGGUCCUGUUUGAAAGUGUUCCCUUAGUCUCCAUCCUCGCUCCGGUGCGCAGCAGCCCGAGAGCACACGGGUCGGCGUUGGCACAGGCUGCCCUAAACCCUUGUUAUGGGUUGAGAAACCACCUUGAAUUUGUUGUCAUUUAGACAAUUCUUCUAUCACCCGGUGACCCCUCCCCACCCGGGAAGGGGAGACGGGGAACAAAAAAAAGAAACACAAGGGGUGAAAUAUAAAUAGAUUUAGGGUAAGAAUGUAGGAUAAGACUAAAUAAUUAAUAAUACUAAAGAACCAGUAUCCUGAUACCAAUAUAAAGUCCACAAGGGUUAUACUCAGCCCAUUCUAUCAGCAGAAUCCGUGUGCUCCUGGCAGGGACAGCAAGUGUUGGACACGGUGAGCACUAACAGCUUCGUGGGGAAGGGAAGGGCUUAGGGAUCUGGCACUGGGGCAAGGAGUUCUCUGGACCCACCCCCAUCAAGGGAGAGAGAGCAAGAGAGAAAACUGCACAACAAACUUUCUAAUUUUUGUUGAAUAUGACGUUCAUGGUAUGAAAUCACCCUGUUGGCCAGCUGGGGUCAAGCGCCCGGGUCUUGCUCCUCCUCAUCCCUGCACCUGAAAGGCUCAAAACCACUCAGACCUUGAAUCCCACAGAGCCUGGCUGGCUGUAAAGUAAAUAUUUUCACGAAAUCAAGGCACUAAAGUUUUCUAAAACUGUGUUUUUUUUCCCAAGCAUUAGAAGAUAAAUUAGUCUUGUGUUGCUAAAACCAGGACAACCCUGCUGGUUCCCCGGGAGCUGCCGAUAUUGCACCUUUCUGGCAAAGCAAAACGUUGAGCUGUUUUACAGCGUUUGUCCUCGGCCAGGGACUCUCCUCCCCAGGUUUUACCCAACAUUGCUGAAUGUAAGAGUCUGUGGGAGGUGUUUGACGCGGCGCUGAGCUUGAGAUGAGCUUGGGAUGAGCUUGAGAUGAGCUUGGGAUGAGCUUGAGAUGCAGUAUCCGUUCUGUCAAACCUGCCGGAGGAGGGAAGGCUCAAGGCAAGGCAGCUCACUCUCUCUGGGAUGAGGUUGCUCGCUGGAUCAUCACUUCUGCUUCUUAUGGCAGGUUACGGGGUUGUUUCAGUCUCUGUUUCCCUUUAAAAAAAAAAAAAAAAGGAAAAAAAAAGCCAGUUUUUCCAACCAAAGCCAUGUGAUCCCAAAGCAAAUACCUCCUGCUUCAGCCCGUGCUGCACUGUUCCAAAAUUUGCAGGCAAUUUUUUUGCAUGACUGUUUUUCAUCAUUUGUACCGAUCCAAUAAUGGAAAGUGAAAUAAUUUCCAUAAAAAUAGUCGAUUAUAGAUGUGUUUCAUGUGGAAAAUAUGUACCUGACCCAGAGGGGUUAGGAGCUGCUACUACUAAUUAGCUAGAAGAGCAAAGCGUGACCCUCUCCCCGGAGGGGAAAAAAAAAAAAUAAUAAUCCAGUCUCCCUGUUCUCAGGGUAUUUACAGUUUUACUGUUGAACAAAUGCAAGGGGGUCCCAGCCCUCCUGGUGGGAACCAUCACGAGCAGAGGAGCCUGGUGCCCAGCUCGGGGUUGGCGUUUGCCGGGGCUGGGCUCUCCCACCUGCCAUGGAUGGAGAUGCCCCGGUCUCUGAGUCUGUGUCCUUGAGUUGGGGUUGUCCUACCAGAGCAGGUCUUCUCCCUCCACCUCGCUGCCCACCCCCCAAUGUUUGGGUGGGCUGGGAUGCCAGGUGCCCAGUGCCACAGGGGACACGUGGCACGGCUGUUGGCCAGGGCACCAGCCGGUGGCUUUGGGAAUCGUUGGACUUUGACCUCAGACCUCGGCAAGGCUUUGACUCAUAGAAAGGAUACUGCAUCUUCCUAGGUCAGCUCCUACUGCCACCUUUGUUCCCCUGGUCCUUCUGCCUCCGGGUGCAGGCAGGGGGGCAGACGGUGGCCCGUUGGCCGGGGGAGGCUGGGGGGGGAGCAUCUAGCCAUGGUUUCUACUGUCAAUACAAUUUUGCACAAGAGUUCUUUGAAGUGAGGUUUUUCAACACUAAUAUCUUAAAAUGCACAACUGUGAAUUAUAACUUUUACACUCCUGUUGGUUGAAUUUCCUUUAAAUGAAAUGAACCUGACUCUGUUGUAACUAUGAUUUUUAUUUUAUUUUUUUUUUUUAAUUCUGUGUAUUGCCAAAUCUUUGUAAAGAGUGAAGGAAUGUUCUCGAUUUCCAAUGAGAAUCUCUCUCCAAACGAGACUGGCUCUGGUGACGUGGAGAUCAUACGAAGCACGCUGUAGUUCUGAGUGGAGAGGGGGCUCGGGGUGGGCUCAGCAAACCAACCUUGGCCUCUCUGUAGACCCCAAGCUCAGACCCUCCAGAGUUUACAAAGCGCUGCUCGUUUUAUUUCCCGGCUUGUCCACUCCCUGGAAUCCAGCUGAAGGCCACUGCCCUGGUGGAGCUUGGGAUGGAGUAUCCCCAGAGGGACGAGGGGUGCUGGCAGGGUGUCGGGGCUGGCCGGGAGCAGGGGUCCCCAGGCUGGUGGGGCAGGACGAGGUGCUUCCCCCAUCCAGUUGCACCAGCAGAGUGAGCUCCACAGGGCAGGUUCUUCCACCGCUCUCCACUUUGGUCCGAACCUGUGGUCGUGUGUAGUUCCCUCUCACACUCUUCUUGCCCCCAAAACAUGCUCCUGCUCGGGAGUGAGCAAGGAUGGGAAGAUGCUGAGAACCCAUGUGGGGCAGCUGGAGCUGGCUGCUCAAGGAUUGCAGUUCUUGGGCCCCGUUGGAAGAGGGGUCAGCCACUCAUUUGUGAUGCGCUCGCUGUUCUGUUCCUCCUCUCUUCUCCUGGACUUACUCUCCUUUUACUCAUCGCAGGGUUAUAUAUAUAUUUUUUUUUUUUCUUCUUCUUCUUUUCUUUAAGUGCCUUUUCAUGCGGGUGGAGCUGGCAAGAGUAGGAGUCUCAGGAUAUGGCCCUUUGCACUCACCUCAGACCUGGAGAAAGCUCAGGGAGAACAGGGCGAGUUGCCCAUGAUGGCCCAUGGACAUCACCCGCUGCUGCUUCUCAGCCCUCAGGGCCCAGCUCAGACAAGGGUGAGAUUUUGGCACCGGUGGUGUCGGGCUCUGGCUCGGAUCAGCUCAAAGAAAAACCAAAGAGGUAGUAGCUUUGUCGCGAGCGGCUGCUCGGGCAGCGGUGGUGCUUCCUGUGGGCUCUGCAGAGCUCGGCCCAGGGGUGUUUUUGGGGGGAAGGAGGGAGGUGGAUGGCAAAGAGCAGCUCUCUCUCCUCACGAGCGCCCUGUGUAAGUAUUCUUAGGGAUGGAGCUCUCAGCCACGUCCUCCAGGACCCCUUGGAACAUCCAUCUCCCUUGUGCAGACGUAACAUUGUCCGUCGAAAUCAUUCCCACGUGAAAGAUGUACCCUGUUUCAUACGACACCUAAUACCCACCUCUGUGGUUUUAAAACUAGUGCCUGUAUUCCAGCUGUCCAGUCAUCCCAUGUCUGGAUUGCCAGGAGCAAACUGGGGCUGGUGGGAGGACGGGCAAAGGAUGCUGCAGAGGGUCCCUCUGGUGAUGCCAACUUGAGGCUUCAUCCCAAAGGUGUGGGAGCAGCACUUGAGGGGUCUCUGCCUUCGUACCGGGUGCUGCCACGUGGCACAAAGCAGGAAACCAGCACCUGCUGAAGGGCUUGGUGUGACACAGCCCUGAGCUUGCUGCCCAGCCCCACGCCGGGGCUCUAUGGAGACCCAAAGAAGUACCUGGGGCUGAGGGUUGGUUUGGCCCAACAGUGAAAUGAUGAGCUUACCUACCGCGAUGGAAAGCUGGGCAUCUUCUGGUGGCACAGAGGAAGAGCAGCCUUCAUCCUGACUUGACCAGCAGAGAGGACAAGCUCUACACUGCAAGCUGGGCUGGGAAGCCACCUUCAUCCCUGCACUGGUGUUCCACGUGGUCCAUCCGUUGCAGGUCUCUUGUUGGCAAGAUCUCAGUGGUGAUACCGGCCUCCUGCGUCGGCAGCACAGGGCACUCGGAGACAUCCACAGAGCCCCCCUGGGACAUCCCUCUUGGUGUCUUGCUCUUCUCCUGGCGCCUGGCUUCAUGCUGGGCAGCCUUCCUCCAUGGUUAGUGUCAUGGCUGUGCCCUUGGGGCCAUGUCCAGGCAAGGGGACACUGGCUGUGGGUUCAAGGCGGUACAGUUGAGCUUUCUGGUCUGGUUGUGCGUAUUUGCUGUUCCCUUAGAAGCUGGAAGGCUGAACCUGGGGAGUCCAGAGCGUUCCCUAGAGGAAAGCCUGGGAUGCCAGGUUAUCCCAGCGCCCUUCCCUGAGCUGCAGAGGUGGGAAGAGGGUGCUGGAGAGCUGCCUCCAGCCCGUGGCACGGUACAGGUGGUGGAGAGAGGUGUUCCACACGUCGGCGGCACUAAGUUCAGUCCAAGCGGUAUGUUGUUCUUCUCGUUAUCCUGAGGUUAAGCUCUAUAAGGUUCUGCACCUUGGAAAUAUGGUACUCAAAGCUGCUGGUCUUCUGUCUCCAGCUGAAAAACAUUUUUCUGCUCUCUCCUGAGGUUUCUCCUUUGGGCCCUCUUUUCUUCUGAGCGGGGCCGAUGGCAGAGGACAGUGCCCCAGCUGCUCUUGCCCCUCUGGUGUGGAUUUCUGGCUAACGAAGUGCUUGAUGUUUAAUUGUCCCCCAGCAGGAGAGGUUUGGCCGUUCUUGACAGAAGCUGCCUGUCGGGCUUGAGUUCUGCCAGCUGUCCUGAGCCAAACCUGUGCCUGGGACACGCAAAGGCUGCGGGCGGCUCCGAUGCUCCAGAGGUGGCUUUGAUGUCUUAUUUUCCUUCUCCUCCGGGAAGCAGUUGGUUGACAGCAGGGUUUGUUGGGCAGGAAGGGCUUGUCCCAGUGUUCAGUGCUUCGCAGAGCUUUCCAGCAUCCCGUUUCAGCUGUUUGGAGACCUCAGAGCUUUAUAAAAGGAGGUGGUUUUUUUUUUUUUUGUCGUCCUCUGGGCAUCACUCUUGUACUAAAUCCUCCCGAAUUGAAGUGAGAGAGUUGUAGGUGCCAGACGAGUAGCCUUGGACCGUAGGCCUUUAGUUGGAAGUGCCAAUGUUGAAUGCCUUCUGGAUUUGCCCAAAGAUCAGUGUGGGAGCGUGGAGGGGAGUCCCAGGGAGCUCCUCUUGUCCCAGGAGUGACAGACUGGCCGUGCCUGCCUCGGCGCCAGCGUCGUCCCUGCUUUAGAGUCUCAGGUCCCAGCAGGUUGGGCUGGGCUGGGCUGGUUUGGCCAGAGGGUUUAUUUUUUACCCAGGGUACGUGCUCUGUCCUUCUGCAUCGUGCAAUGGGGGUUUCUGGGGCUGCUGCUCCCCUCCCCACCGGUUGCCUCCGUGCCUGGGGAGGCAGGAGGAGGAGGAGGAGGAGGUGCAGCAGCCAGGACCAGGCGAUGCUGCGGCCGUCCCGUCUCCGGUCCUCAUGCUAAGGGUGGGAGAUGCUGCUCAAGGACUCCCUUCCCUCUAGCUUUUUUUGCAGACCACAGGAAAUGUGGAGAGUGGAAACCCAGCAGGACCCCAGCCCCAGCGCUCCGGUCCCGGUUUGAUCCAUGUUCUCCCAAGCACAAGGGUGGUUUACGAGCGGUUGAGGGUCGGGUCCUGCUGAGGGACCUCAGAGCUCUUGGCGUGUGUUUUCCUCCAAGACGUGUGGCUGCAGAGCCCACCUCGGUACCUGAGUCAUGGGGCUGGUGCCCGGAUGCCAAACAUUGAAUUGGAAAACCCAAAUACUUGAGGAACCUUCCUGGAAGCCACGAGCUCAGCAGGUGCUGAGCAGCUGGAGGUCUCACACCAAACCUUUCUUCUGCAGCUGGGUCCUUCUUGGCUGCCCCGAGCCUCCUCCCGGCCUCGGUCCCCCCCGGCUCAGAAGUGUGGUGGCUCUCCCUCCGCAGGGCAUUUUGGUGGUGACCUGUCCCCACCGAGCCACCCCGGCCAGCUCGUCCCCGUGUCCUCUUUGCCAUCCUACGUGGUCUUUGCGAAUUGUAUCAUAUUGUACAUGACUUGGGGUUUCCAGAGUUGUAGUGUUCUGACUACAGUAUUUCCAUGUGUGUACAGAAACCUGAAUAAGCACAACUGAAAUCCUGAAUGAAGUGUAUACGUUUCAUAUCCUGAUUGUCAUAUGAAUGAAUUUUAUAAUUAUUCCAAUUUUGUUGUAGAUUUCCAAUCUUUCCUAUUUAUUUUGUACCAGAUUUAUUUGUAUAUUUUGUGAUUUUGUUUAAAAGCGUUUUGUUUAUUUCUAUUCUUUUUAGAUAAAUGAUGAUUUUUUUUUUUUUCUGUUGAACAUUCCAGUUUAUGCAUUUUUCCCUCCUCCAUGCUCCCCCCCCCUCGUUUCCAAGGGACGGAUUUUUGGCACGCGGGUGGUGGGGCUGAUGUUGGCGAUCCCAGACCCAGGUCUCUGCUGUUGGCACCUCAGUGGGCUUUAAUCUCCUCCUCAGCUGUCAAGAGCCAUGGAGGGGCCGGAUCCCAUUCCCUUUAGAGCCAGACCUUGCUCUUCACUUUGGUGGGUCUGGGUCCAUAAUUCCUGGAGCCGGGGAGGGCUGUGCCGGUGGUUUUGCUGACCAGGAGCUGGGAAGCUGGUGGCAACAGCAAGCAGCUCACUUUCACUUUCUGAAGCUCCCUCAAAGAUGAGGGCCUUUUUUUUCUUUCACUAAUAAAAACCCCUUAUUUACAA